UACGAAGGGGGCUAGCGUUGUUCGGAAUUACUGGGCGUAAAGCGCGCGCAGGCGGCUAUCCAAGUCAGUGGUGAAAGCCCGGAGCUCAACUCCGGAACUGCCAUUGAAACUGUUUAGCUUGAGGACGAGAGAGGUGAGUGGAAUUCCCAGUGUAGAGGUGAAAUUCGUAGAUAUUAGGAAGAACACCAGUGGCGAAGGCGCUCUACUGGGCCAUUACUGACGCUGAUGGACGAAAGCUAGGGGAGCGAAAGGG
rnacentral:rRNA from 1 species